CCUACGGGAGGCUGCAGUGGGGAAUAUUGCACAAUGGGGGAAACCCUGAUGCAGCGACGCCGCGUGAGCGAUGAAGUAUUUCGGUAUGUAAAGCUCUAUCAGCAGGGAAGAAAAUGACGGUACCUGAGUAAGAAGCCCCGGCUAACUACGUGCCAGCAGCCGCGGUAAUACGUAGGGGGCAAGCGUUAUCCGGAUUUACUGGGUGUAAAGGGAGCGUAGACGGCAGUGCAAGUCUGGAGUGAAAGGCGGGGGCUCAACCCCCGGACUGCUCUGGAAACUGUACGGCUGGAGUGCAGGAGAGGUAAGUGGAAUGCCUGGUGUAGCGGUGAAAUGCGUAGAUAUUAGAAGGAACACCAAUGGCGAAGGCGGCUUACUGGACUGUAACUGACGUUGAGGCUCGAAAGCGUGGGGAGCAAACAGGAUUAGAUACCCUGGUAGUC
rnacentral:rRNA from 1 species